CAACAGGGAUUGCCUCAGUAACUGCGAGUGAAGCGGCAAAAGCUCAAAUUUGAAAUCUGGCCCGUCUCUUGGCGGCCCGAGUUGUAAUUUGGAGGCGCACUUUCGGAGCGGGCGCCGUCCCAAGUUCCUUGGAACAGGACGUCGCAGAGGGUGAGAAUCCCGUGCCUGGAUGGCCGCGCCGCUCCAUGUGAGGUGUGUCCGACGAGUCGAGUUGUUUGGGAAUGCAGCUCAAAGUGGGUGGUAAAUUUCAUCUAAAGCUAAAUAUUGGCGAGAGACCGAUAGCGCACAAGUAGAGUGAUCGAAAGAUGAAAAGCACUUUGAAAAGAGAGUUAAAAAGUACGUGAAAUUGUUGAAAGGGAAGCGCUUGAGACCAGACUCGGCCGCCGGCGAUCAUCGGUGCUUCUGCGCCGUGCGCUCGUCGGUGGCCGGGCCAGCAUCGGUUCUGGCGGCGGGAAAAAGGCCCGGGCAAUGUGGCUCCUCUCGGGGAGUGUUUAUAGGCCCGGGUGUCAUGCCGCCAGCCGGGACCGAGGACCGCGCUUCGGCUAGGAUGCUGGCGUAAUGGUCUUAAGCGACCCGUCUUGAAACACGGACCAAGGAGUCUAACAUCUAUGCGAGUGUUCGGGUGGAAAACCCUUGCGCGUAAUGAAAGUGAGCGGAGGUGGGAACCCCUCCCGGGGUGCACCAUCGACCGAUCCCGAUGUCUUCGGAGGGAUUUGAGUAGGAGCAUAGCUGUUGGGACCCGAAAGAUGGUGAACUAUGCCUGAAUAGGGUGAAGCCAGAGGAAACUCUGGUGGAGGCUCGCAGCGGUUCUGACGUGCAAAUCGAUCGUCAAAUUUGGGUAUAGGGGCGAAAGACUAAUCGAACCAUCUAGUAGCUGGUUCCUGCCGAAGUUUCCCUCA
rnacentral:rRNA from 1 species